rnacentral:rRNA from 1 species
UACAGAGGGGGCGAGCGUUGUUCGGAAUUACUGGGCGUAAAGGGCGCGUAGGCGGCCAACUAAGUCAGACGUGAAAUCCCUCGGCUCAACCGGGGAACUGCGUCUGAUACUGGAUGGCUUGAAUUCGGGAGAGGGAUGCGGAAUUCCAGGUGUAGCGGUGAAAUGCGUAGAUAUCUGGAGGAACACCGGUGGCGAAGGCGGCAUCCUGGACCGAGAUUGACGCUGAUGCGCGAAAGCCAGGG